rnacentral:rRNA from 1 species
GUGGGGAAUUUUGGACAAUGGGCGCAAGCCUGAUCCAGCAAUGCCGCGUGCAGGAAGAAGGCCUUCGGGUUGUAAACUGCUUUUGUACGGAACGAAACGGUCCUGGUUAAUACCUGGGGCUAAUGACGGUACCGUAAGAAUAAGCACCGGCUAACUACGUGCCAGCAGCCGCGGUAAUACGUAGGGUGCAAGCGUUAAUCGGAAUUACUGGGCGUAAAGCGUGCGCAGGCGGUUUUGUAAGCCAGGCGUGAAAUCCCCGGGCUCAACCUGGGAAUUGCGCUUGUGACUGCAAGGCUGGAGUGCGGCAGAGGGGGAUGGAAUUCCGCGUGUAGCAGUGAAAUGCGUAGAUAUGCGGAGGAACACCGAUGGCGAAGGCAAUCCCCUGGGCCUGCACUGACGCUCAUGCACGAAAGCGUGGGGAGCAAACAGGAUUAGAUACCCUGGUAGUCC